rnacentral:rRNA from 1 species
GACGAACGCUGGCGGCGUGCCUAAUACAUGCAAGUAGAACGCUGAAGGAGGAGCUCGCUUCUCUGGAUGAGUUGCGAACGGGUGAGUAACGCGUAGGUAACCUGCCUGGUAGCGGGGGAUAACUAUUGGAAACGAUAGCUAAUACCGCAUAAUAGUAGAUGUUGCAUGACAUUUGCUUAAAAGGUGCAAUUGCAUCACUACCAGAUGGACCUGCGUUGUAUUAGCUAGUUGGUGGGGUAACGGCUCACCAAGGCGACGAUACAUAGCCGACCUGAGAGGGUGAUCGGCCACACUGGGACUGAGACACGGCCCAGACUCCUACGGGAGGCAGCAGUAGGGAAUCUUCGGCAAUGGACGGAAGUCUGACCGAGCAACGCCGCGUGAGUGAAGAAGGUUUUCGGAUCGUAAAGCUCUGUUGUAAGAGAAGAACGAGUGUGAGAGUGGAAAGUUCACACUGUGACGGUAUCUUACCAGAAAGGGACGGCUAACUACGUGCCAGCAGCCGCGGUAAUACGUAGGUCCCGAGCGUUGUCCGGAUUUAUUGGGCGUAAAGCGAGCGCAGGCGGUUAGAUAAGUCUGAAGUUAAAGGCUGUGGCUUAACCAUAGUACGCUUUGGAAACUGUUUAACUUGAGUGCAAGAGGGGAGAGUGGAAUUCCAUGUGUAGCGGUGAAAUGCGUAGAUAUAUGGAGGAACACCGGUGGCGAAAGCGGCUCUCUGGCUUGUAACUGACGCUGAGGCUCGAAAGCGUGGGGAGCAAACAGG